rnacentral:rRNA from 1 species
GAUGAACGCUGGCGGCGUGCCUAAUACAUGCAAGUCGAGCGAACAGACGAGGAGCUUGCUCCUCUGACGUUAGCGGCGGACGGGUGAGUAACACGUGGAUAACCUACCUAUAAGACUGGGAUAACUUCGGGAAACCGGAGCUAAUCCCGGAUAAUAUAUUGAACCGCAUGGUUCAAUAGUGAAAGACGGUUUUGCUGUCACUUAUAGAUGGAUCCGCGCCGCAUUAGCUAGUUGGUAAGGUAACGGUGUACCAAGGCAACGAUGCGUAGCCGACCUGAGGGGGUGAUAGGCCACACUGGAACUGAGACACGGUCCAGACUCCUACGGGAGGCAGCAGUAGGGAAUCUUCCGCAAUGGGCGAAAGCCUGACGGAGCAACGCCGCGUGAGUGAUGAAGGUCUUCGGAUCGUAAAACUCUGUUAUUAGGGAAGAACAAAUGUGUAAGUAACUAUGCACGUCUUGACGGUACCUAAUCAGAAAGCCACGGCUAACUACGUG